rnacentral:rRNA from 1 species
UACGUAGGGUGCAAGCGUUGUCCGGAAUUAUUGGGCGUAAAGAGCUCGUAGGCGGUUUGUUGCGUCGGCUGUGAAAUCCCGAGGCUCAACCUCGGGUCUGCAGUCGAUACGAGCAAACUAGAGUGUUGCAGGGGAGACUGGAAUUCCUGGUGUAGCAGUGAAAUGCGUAGAUAUCGUAAGGAAGACCAGUGGCGAAGGCGGAUCUCUGGACAGUUACUGACACUGAGGCACGAAGGCCAGGGGAGCAAACGGG